UACGUAGGUGGCAAGCGUUGUCCGGAAUUAUUGGGCGUAAAGCGCGCGUAGGCGGUCCUUUAAGUCUGAUGUGAAAGCCCACGGCUCAACCGUGGAGGGUCAUUGGAAACUGGGGGACUUGAGUGCAGGAGAGGAGAGUGGAAUUCCACGUGUAGCGGUGAAAUGCGUAGAGAUGUGGAGGAACACCAGUGGCGAAGGCGACUCUUUGGCCUGUAACUGGCGCUGAGGCGCGAAAGCGUGGGGAGCAAACAGG
rnacentral:rRNA from 1 species